ensembl:ncRNA F54D5.19 ncRNA
GAAUAAUUCUAAAUUUUUUGAACUUCGCGCGCGAACGAGCGCCCUCUGCGUGUACUCCUCUCGGACAAUCAUAUAAUUAAUAUGUUGAUUAUUGUUUUCGGCUAAUUUUAGGUGAUUGUUGCGGUUUUUAUUGUAUUUUUACAGCAGUCU